CGUAGUUGGAUUUCUGGUGUGAUGCCCUGGCCCGUGCCUCAUUUGGUGCGUGUGCCGGCUGUGCGUCCGCCAUCCUUCUAGAAAACGUGCCUACUCUUCACUGAGACGGGCCACGCGAUCUAGAUCUUUUACUUUGAAAAAAUUAGAGUGUUUAAGGCAGGCUUUUGCUAUGAAUACAUUAGCAUGGAAUAAUAAUCUAGGACUUCGGUUCUAUUUUGUUGGUUUCUAGUACUGAAGUAAUGA
rnacentral:rRNA from 1 species